rnacentral:rRNA from 1 species
UACGUAGGUGGCAAGCGUUGUCCGGAUUUAUUGGUUUAAAGGGUGCGUAGGCGGCCUAUUAAGUCAGUGGUGAAAUAUCUCAGCUCAACUGAGAGUGUGCCAAUGAUACUGAUGGGCUUGAGUACAGAUGAGGUAGGCGGAAUUGACGGUGUAGCGGUGAAAUGCUUAGAUAUCGUCAAGAACACCUAUAGCGAAGGCAGCUUACUAGGCUGUAACUGACGCUGAGGCACGAAAGUGUGGGGAUCAAACAGG